GACAAACGCUGGCGGCAUGCCUAACACAUGCAAGUCGAACGGACAGAACAGGGAAGCUUUUCGGAGUGGAACUGGAAAGUUAGUGGCGGAUGGGUGAGUAACGCGUGGACAACCUACCAUGUAAAGGGGAAUAACCUCGAGAAAUCGAAGCUAAUACCCCAUAAUAACCUUGCUUCGCAUGAAGUAAGGAGGAAAGGCGGCCUUAGCGCUGUCGAUACAAGAUGGGUCCGCGUCUGAUUAGCUAGUUGGUGAGGUAAAGGCUCACCAAGGCGACGAUCAGUAGCCGGCCUGAGAGGGUGAACGGCCACAUUGGGACUGAGACACGGCCCAAACUCCUACGGGAGGCAGCAGUGGGGAAUCUUCCGCAAUGGGCGAAAGCCUGACGGAGCAAUGCCGCGUGAGUGAAGAAGGCCUGCGGGUGGUAAAACUCUGUCCUGAUCGAAGAGAGAGUGUUGUAGUAACUGACAAUACUAGGACGGUAGAUGAGGAGGAAGCCCCGGCUAACUAUGUG
rnacentral:rRNA from 1 species